rnacentral:tRNA from 1 species
GCUGGUGUAGCUCAGUGGUAGGGCAACGCACUCGUAAUGCGUAGGUCCACGGUUCAAGUCCGUGCACCAGCU